UAGCCAAGUGGUUAAGGCUAUGGAUCGCCAAUCCAGAGACGGCGGGUUCGAUUCCCGU
rfam:Aedes albopictus isolate Foshan contig75027, whole genome shotgun sequence.